CCGAAUGGGGAAACCCAGUGUGAUUCGUCACACUAUCAUUAACUGAAUCCAUAGGUUAAUGAGGCGAACCGGGGGAACUGAAACAUCUAAGUACCCCGAGGAAAAGAAAUCAACCGAGAUUCCCCCAGUAGCGGCGAGCGAACGGGGAGGAGCCCAGAGCCUGAAUCAGCAUGUGUGUUAGUGGAAGCGUCUGGAAAGGCGCGCGAUACAGGGUGACAGCCCCGUACACAAAAGCGCAUGUGCUGUGAGCUCGAUGAGUAGGGCGGGACACGUGGUAUCCUGUCUGAAUAUGGGGGGACCAUCCUCCAAGGCUAAAUACUCCUGACUGACCGAUAGUGAACCAGUACCGUGAGGGAAAGGCGAAAAGAACCCCGGCGAGGGGAGUGAAAA
rnacentral:rRNA from 1 species